GUUCUGGGAGGUUCUGUAUCCCCAGGUUCCCUCUUGGUCUUGCCCAGAAUUCCACACCCUCCCUGCUCCCUUAUUUGCCUAAGUUGCAUCACCCCACUCUAACCACUCCUCCCAUCCCUAUCCCCAUUGGUGUGUUUGUAUCCUGACCAUGCCUACCCUGUCCCAGUUAUAUACCCUGGACCUUCACUUAUUCUUGCUCUUCAUCCCUAGAUCCCUUCAAGUGUGGUUGUCCUCCUGCUCUAUCCUGGACCCUUAUUUCAUCCUUGAACAAACAAACCUUGUUGGAUUUUCCACACAAAGAGUCCUCUCGCUUACUGACACAGUCACAGAUCCAAGCACAGAGACUAAUGUUUUUGUUCUCACAGUUCAUGUGGGCCUACAGAGAAACAAGCAUCUACCUAUUCAGAGCUCAUUCAUGGAGUUUGUGACCACAAAAUGACUUGUGCUGAGGAGAAUGAAAAAAAAUCUGGUAGCAGGUCUUCUGGCUUCACUUCUCAAUUGAGAUUUCUUUUGAAAGAAAAUCCAGAGACUGUCUCUAGUGUCAUGGGAGAAUAUUUGUGUACAUCAACAGCACAAACCUAUUAGUAGUUCUGUGUCUGUGUGUUAUUUUGGCCUACAUGGCUGACUGUUUCCUUGGAUGAAGUCUUAGAUUUUUCAAAAGGAAUUAAGAAAAACCCAUUGGCAAAAGGCAUUUAAUGUGUGCUUUCCUUGAACAUGUACAGCAUAAGGUGAGUGGCUGCAGGUGAUUGGUACCAAAUGAGCCCUUCAGGCAAUCAGCAGAGCAAAGAGCCCCACGGUACUGUCCUCUAGUGAGCAGUAAUCACUGCUCCGCUCUUAUGGAGAAUACCAGGAAAAAGUAAAACAACUCAAGCUCUGAAAUACAGAAACAGAUGAAGCAAGAAAACAAAUCUGCUUGAUGAAGGCAAGGAAUGUUGGCCACUAUUAGCAAGUCAUAGGGAGAAGGGAGAGAAGCAGAAACAAACACCACAAAUAAGAUUGACAUUGAAAAGAAAGAGAGAAAUUACCCUAUUUGUCAAAUAAAAAUAAUAAUAUGAAUGAAAAGAAGCAGAUAUAAUCCUGUAAACAUAAUGAGGAAGUAGUAAAUGAGUAAUAAAGUGAGCUACAAAGAGCCAAUUGUGUCUUCUGUUCUGAUCUGGUGCCUAAAAAGCUUUCCAGGAAAGUACUCAACAUUCUCUUAUGAAAGCACAUAGCAGUUCUGUGAGAGAGGAUAAUUUAUUUACAGGUUAUGGUGUUAUUUGUAAGAGGAGUCUC